rnacentral:sRNA from 2 species
UAAUAUGAUUCGCUGAAUUCUUUUGUUCUAUUCUGAACUUAAAAGAAGCGGGGGAACCACAACUUUGGCACUAUGCCUGGGAUGAAUUUGUUAAAAGCAGAAGGGAUAACUCUCAAUUCCCUAAUCCGACAGCUAACCUCGUAAGCGUUUUUGGAGAGAGAGC